CUCCAGUCUCCAGAGCCAGGCUCCACAUCCAACAGCUGACCUAUGAGUUCCUCCAGGCUCCACAUCCAACAGCUGACCUAUGAGUUCCUCCAGUCUCCAGAGCCAGGCUCCACAUCCAACAGCUAACCCACACACUGGCAAGUUACCUCUAACUGGGGUAGCUCUGGUCCAAUACAGUAUCACUAUUUAUGAUACUCAACUUUCCAAGGCAAAAAAGGAAACAAAACUGUUUUAACUCUUUAAAAACUGCUUUAUCUAAAAUAUUGUUUUCUGUAGCUUGAAAAACAAACAAAUGUGUCUCUGGUGUAUCCAACAUUCCGACUUCUGAGUAUUGCGAUACUGUUAUUGAGAAACUACUAGGGAGAUGGUAGAAGAUGCCUCUAACUACUGGUCUGGGGUCAGACAUUGUUUGAGGGUAAUCUGAUCUAGAUCUGUGGCUUAGAGGAAACUUCUACUCAGAGCUGAACUGACGUCCUGUAUUUAACCACCACUGGUUGUUUUGUUGUCUGACUCUGUGCUCUCAACACACCGGGACAACGAGAGAGAACCUCCGACAUGUUGUGGAAGGUCAUCAUGAUUGUACCGAUUAUUUGUAUGUGUGCUAUACUUAUGAGAAUAAAGUCGCCACAGGUUGUGUUUUUACACAGCACUGUGUCAUCAGGUUGUGUUUUUUACACAGUACUGUGUCAUCAGGUUGUGUUUUUACACAGUACUGUGUCACAUUUCUUCAAAAUCGAACCAGAAGCAGACCAGGGGCAAGGAGAGUAUGAAGAAGGUGAGUAUUUAUUUACAAGUGAAUGUGAAUGGGUAGAUAUAUCCAGGUGGCGUAGCGGGCAGCGGUGGUGAGUUGAUGGGAGUAAAUAGGUGGAUCCAAUGGGGAAGCGGAAUCCU
rnacentral:lncRNA from 1 species